UGAGGAAUAUUGGGCAAUGCCCGCAAGGGUGACCCAGCAACGCCGCGUGGAGGAUGAAUGUCGUAAGAUUGUAAACUCCUGUUAGAGGGGAAGAAUAGUACCGGUUGGACCGGUAUAUGACUGUACCCUCAGAGAAAGCCCCGGCUAACUACGUGCCAGCAGCCGCGGUAAUACGUAGGGGGCAAGCGUUGUCCGGAUUUACUGGGUGUAAAGGGCGCGCAGGCGGGAUAAAAAGUCAGUGGUGAAAUCCUACAGCUGAACUGUAGAACUGCCUUUGAUACUUUUAUUCUUGAGUUCGGGAGAGAGAGACGGAAUUCCAGGUGUAGUGGUGAAAUACGUAGAUAUCUGGAAGAACACCAGUUGCGAAGGCGGUCUCUUGGUCCGACACUGACGCUGAUGCGCGAAAGCGUGGGGA
rnacentral:rRNA from 1 species